GGCACAAGGUCUCUGAUGGUCACUGACGCAGAGCUCAGAUGUUUUUGGUGCAAAUCCAGAGAUGUAUUUACUUACUAGAAUGUACAGAACACAGGGAAGCAGUGCCAACAGGACACAGCACAGAGGAAAGCAAAGAGAAGAAUACCACGUAAUACAAUCUGUACAGCUGGACUGCCAGAGUCUGCAGACAUGUCGACAUUUCAGGGGUAUCGGUAUCAAAGGCAGCUGUCAGAUCUACAGAAACAACAUGGAUAUUUGGUCUUCAUCCAUCAUCAAGAGAAGACUGACAACUGAAAUGAGAGCAACUUUCAACCACAGCAUCAAAUCCACCAUCUCUGGGCCCAGACCCUUAGAUCCCUUCCUCUUCCAAAAAAAUUAUUUGUGCAGCUCCUUCUCCAAAUAAGGUACAUGACCACUAGGGCUGACUUGGAGUCUGUUCCAAAUUCAAGUCACCCACGAAUCACGAAUCAAGGAAAUUAAAUACAAAUGCUCAAACAGUUAAAGUGCUUUAAGAAACAAAACUGUAAGUGGCUGUUCUUCCAACCACUUUCCAUGUGCAGUUCUAAUUUCCAACUCCUACUUCAGAGAAGUGAGAGCUAGCAGGGUUACUUGGCUUGUAAAUAUCCUGCUAACAUUUUAAACAGCAUCCAUAACACCCACCUUGCUACACAAUUGAAUUUCAAAGCCCUGGCAAUUUACAUGUUUACCAGAUGAUUUGGUUUUCCACCUGCCUGAGUCACUUGGCUUUUGAGAACAGGUGACGGAAUGAACUCUCCACCUUGUUCAAACAAGCUCAACCAAAACAGCGCAACUCAAUAGAUCUGCAGGAAUGUCCAGGCUCUGCCCAGUUCCCCCAGGCACUCGGUGUAACAGCUACAAUUAACACAGGGACUGCCCAAACCACCAGCAGGUGUUUUCUCCCAGAUAGGGAUUUAUAGCUGGAAGUACAGGCUUAUUCAGGGUAUUAAAACUAUGCUCAGUAGAUGUCUCACAGACUAGUUCUGCUUGGCAGAGGGGAACAGCCUGCAUCAGCAAGACCAACAGAGGCUUGGUCUGCAGGAUAAUAUGAACAUAUGGACACACUGUUAAGCAUUUGAUGCUCUAAACAAGGAACAAUUCUGGAAGCUGUUCAUGGACCAUAGCAAAGAGGAGGAUUCCAGGGGCACUGAGGUCAGUUAGGCCUACAACAGUAAAAAGGGCAGAGUCUAUUCUUCAGCUCCCCUUCUGAAGAGAACUAAUGCCUAGAGCUGUGGUUCCCAAAGCAUGGCCCCCCAGUCACAUGAUGCUGGCUGGCUUUUCCUAUUUCUAGCGACCAAACUGCAUGAAAAGCAGCUAAAAAUACAGUAAGUAUUUCCUAGUGUUACCUUUCCAUGGCAGCCAUUGCUGUAAUUGCCACAUUUCUUCAGUCAGCAGAGGGGAGGCAGGGAGCAGGAUCAUGAAUUAGGAGGAAUGUCACUACAAGGAAUGAGAGACCCCUAGACCUGAAGAAUAAAGUCCAUGAGCCCUACGGGGUCCCUCAGGGAAGGAGAGGAAAAUCACAUUGUGUAUGCACCUCAAGUUACCCCAAAAAUGAUCCUGCCCAUGAACAUUCUCAAAGACCCUGUUCAACAUGUCCUACAAUAACCAGGAUACAUAAUUUCCUCUGUAUUAUGGCCAAGGAGAAGAGGUCACUGAUUUCCAGGACAGCUUUGGCUGUGCUCAUUCAACCACAGAACGGACUCAAGAAAGGAGUCAAACUACCCUGAUGCAAGUCCCAGUCCCAAAUGAGGUGGCUUCUCAUUAGUGCCUAUGCUGUAAAACUCCCCACAUCCCCAAAGCUGCAUGGACAUCCCAGAACGUGAUCUAGUGGUUAGGGGACAAGGAAUCACAACUGCUAGGUUCCUUGAUUGGCUCUGCCACUGACUCACUGUGUGACCUUGGGAAAAAUCAUCAACUCUCUGGGCCUUCAUUUCCCUAUCUACAAGAUGGAGCCAUCGCAAUGUUUGCAGGGAUGGAGAGUGAGAGCUGGGUGUGUUUUAGAGGCAGGCUGGCUGGCUUCAAGCAUUCCCCUACAAAGCCAUCCCGUAACGAGGCUGAGCGCCAGCCAACAUGCCAAUUCAGUUAUUCAGACAGAGGAAUUUCCCCAUUUGCAGAAUCUGCUCUCAACUGUUGUGUUUCUCCUCUCCAGGCGUUCUCCAGCACAGGACUAUUUUAACGGCUCAUUCUGUCCAGUCACAGAGCAAUUCCAACAGCCUGCUGGCAAGAGGAUGACUUUCAGUUAUCUGAUCCAGUCUGACAGAUGAGUUAUUAGUGCAUGCACCAAACCUCAAUGAGUGCAUGCUGCUCCCUCCUCCCUUUGCUAGGUCACUAACCAGAAGGCAGGGAUAAUAAAAAGGUAAGUGAGAUUAGCACAAGGGGAGAAGGAAGGGGGAGAAAGAGCUCACAGGCACCAAACACCCAAGCUACACUACAUCUCAUUCAUCAGUUCAACAUAAAUACAUGGUCUACUUAGAAAUUCAAACAUCUAAAGAGAAGUGGGGGCCAAAAUAAUCAAGGAGCUGUAAUCAGGGAGAGUGUAAAAUUAAAUUCACUUAGCUUAGUAAUACAGUGACUCUAUAUAGCUACCCUUGCCUAGAAGGGUUAAUAGCUGUUUGCAAUUCCAUAGCAGAUAACGUAGCAAUCAAUGGUGUAGAACAUGGAAAAAAGGAAAUGGACCUGUUGGCACAUUUCUAGCAAGUGAAGAGUGAGUAGAGAGAGUCUGGAAGGUCCCAGGCACUUCUGAAUCACUUAGCCCACUGGUACUCCGACCUCAGUGGUUCUGGAGCCAAAUUAGGGAUCAGGUUUACCAAAAAGAGCCACAGCAGCGUAAAUUCACUGUUUAAUGGACUAUAGUGCUACAGAUUCAAACACAGUGUUUUCAUAUCAUGUGCUGCAAAGAGCCGCAGGAGAUGCAUCAAAGAGCCACUUGCCGCUCAAGAGUCUCAGUCUGAGUAUCACUGACUUAGCCCUUUAAUUCUCCCCCAACUUAUUUUUGAUCCUUUUAGACCUACUGGCAAAAGCAAUAUUGUCCAUGGAUGACAAACUUCUGAGACCUACAUAUUUCAGAGUGAUGGAUCAAAGGCUAAGGCCCAAAAUUGACUUCCUUUAAAAUAGCUACAACCGUCUGAGGAGCAUGCUAGAUUUUAAAAUUCACCAUUUCAGUCAUGAGACGCUGAAGUAAAUAAAAGCCGUUAUUUCUAUAGGCCC